AAUANCCCUUUACUACAGCUCUUAACCAUAAUAACACUGCUCUACCAGAAAAGAACUUUACACACCGAAAUGCUUCUUCGUUCACGCGGCGUCGCACUAUCAGGGUUUCCCCCAUUGUAGACUAUUCUCG
rnacentral:rRNA from 1 species